UGCCAGCCGCCGCGGUAAGACGAAGGUGGCGAGCGUUAUUCGGAUUUACUGGGCAUAAAGCGCGCGUAGGCGGCUCGGUCAGUCGGAGGUGAAAGCCCACAGCUCAACUGUGGAACUGCCCCCGAUACUGCCGGGCUUGAGUGCAGGAGGGGUGACUGGAACUCCAGGUGUAGCGGUGAAAUGCGUAGAUAUCUGGAGGAACACCAGAGGCGAAGGCGGGUCACUGGACUGCAACUGACGCUGAGGCGCGAAAGCUAGGGGAGCGAACAGGAUUAGAUA
rnacentral:rRNA from 1 species